CUGAGUGAAUAUGAGUUCCAGAGGACUUUUAGACUCUCAUUUACUGCUCUUUUCCAAAGCCUAGAACAGUGUCUAGCACAUACAGAGGUUCUGGAUUUGGGUGUUGAGUAAAUGAAUAAAGAGCUCACAUGGACACCUCUCAUCAAGUAUGUGGUUCUGCUUUCAAGCUCAUUCCCAACAGUCAAAGGCCCUUCUGACUGUGGUAGAUUUAUAGUCAAUAAUUCUUGCCCACACUCAUACCAGUAUGAUCAUUAUAGAGUCCAUAUUAAUAAAUGUGUUUACGGGUCAUACACAGCGACCGGAAAAGCAAUUAUUAUUAUUAUUAUUAUUAUUAUUAUUAUUAUUAUUAUUAUUAUCACCAACAUGUAUUGAGCUCAUGCCAAAUUCUGGACUCAACACUUGUCUCACGUUUAUUUCUAAUCCUUACCACAUCCCUGCAAAGUAAAUGAUAGAAUCCACAUUUUGCGGAAUAGGAAAAUAAGGCCACACAUUAAUUAUAUCCCAAACAUAUCUGCAGAUUCCCAUAUUCCUCUCAGCAUGUUUAGCAAGGCUUGUUAAUAGCCCUCUACUCUGAGCAGAUAUUCUCUCUGGGACUGGGAACAAAAGAGGCUCUCUCUCAGGGAGGGAUAGGAAAUGAGAGUGGCCUCGGUGCCGCUGACCACAUGGGGCUGUAGAGACACUGUCCCCAUGCUCUGGGCCAGGCACCAAGGAAACUGAGCAGUGGGAUGGGACGGGUGUGGGAAUGAUCCCAUAACAACUAAGGGUUAAUUAAUUUCUUGUUUUGGGGGAAAUACCCAAGAGUGCAGUUAAGCAUGCCAGCUUCUUUGAGAUCCUACCUAUGCAAUCCUAUCUCCUUAUUUGUUAUAGUGAACACUUCUAGCAGAGCCCCAUCUGCAAAAGAAAUUUCCAGGGUCCCCCUGCCCCCCCAGCUCUUCACUCUACUGCACUUCACUCUGUGACAGUGCCGGCCCUCACUCCAAGCAAGUGCCCAGACCUGGCCCCUUCAGAGUUCAGAGGUGGGGCCAGCGGGGGAGGGGCAGCCAAUUCGUGCCCUUGGCAGAUGCCCGACAUGGGGGGGGGGGCUUUGUGGGAGGAAGGUGGGAGCUGGGGUGUGCCCAGCUGGAAGCCGCCCGUAAUUUAACACUCGCAGAUGGAGACUGAGGGUGAUAUGAUACCCCCAGCUGUCUGCCCCUGCCGCCUUCAAGACCCCCUUCGGCUGCCUGGGACUCGGGAUGCUUUAGGAAGGGCCUGGUGCGGGUGGGGGCAGCCUAAUAAAGCAGCUGGUCUAUUAGAAGAUAAGCUUUGUGGAGAAUCACACAGUCAUUUCGAAUCCCCCUAAUCCCAAACUUUAUUGCCCUAGAUAAUAAGCUUUGGUGGCGACGCUCCAUUGAAAUAUGGAAUUGUCUGCAGGCUGGAGGCACCUGCUGUGUCACUCAGCUCCAGGGCGGCAACUGCCUUGCACACAAUUCAGGGGCAGGUGCACAGCUCCCGCCUGGGCUCCCGGAGGGAGGGAAGGGGGACCGUCAAGGGGGCCGGCCACGCUUGCAUGAAGGGCUCCAAAUACUCUCUGUGCCCAGGAGGCCUGGCUUAGGCCUGAGAAUGUUCUCUCUGAGGCCUGUGGAUUAAGCUGUUUGGGGAACUUGGGGAAGAAGGAGCAAGAGGGAGCAAUUGUUUGUUGAGGACGCUGAGGCUUAGAGAAAGGACCAGCUCUGCCUGCAGACCCCCGUGAUCAGUGGAUGAUCCGUCCUCCUCCUCCCUCUUGCAAUUCCUCCUGCAGCUGUCUCUGAGGCCCACCUUGGCACGGGCUGUUUCCUCUUCGGCCUCCUUCCCUACACGUCCACCUGGUGAGCUUCCCGGUCUCCUCCUCCACGAUGCUGCCUGUGUGUCCACCAAGGAGAUUUGUGUGUCUUCUCCUAUGUGUCUCUCUAGCUCUUGAUUCACAUCAGCCAUUGGAGCCCACGCAACAGUAAUUAAUCAAACAAUCAAUUAAUUUCUUCUACGCCUGUCUCUUCCACUAAACUAGGAUGUCCUUAAGGGCACGGAUCAUAUCUGAUUCAUCCUGUCCCCAGAAUCUUGGAGAUGCUCAAAAGAUUCACAAAAAGAAAGAAAAAAGAAGAAAAGAGGGAAGAGACAAAAAGAAAGGAAAAAAAAAAAAAACCCAAGAAGCAACCUACAUGCACAUAAAACAAAUCCUAUAUGGCCACUGAGAGUAAUGAAGCAUAUCUACACGUAGUCAAAAAGGAUGAGAAGUUCAAAACCUAUUGUUACGUGAAAAUAAUGCAGUGUCAAACAGCGUCUAGAAUAUUAUGUUAAAAAAAUAAUGCUGAUGGUAACGGUUGCCUUGGGAAAGUAUACCUGGAAAGGGGUUAAAAUAGGUAGAAGGGAGACUGACUUUACACUUUAAACCUUUUGUAAAACUGACAUUUUUAGCAUGUAUGAAUCUGACCUUUUUGAAAGGGUAGAAACAGCCUCACACGUGUAGAAAGACAGUUGUCGAAUGCACAAAUAAACCAGCCGUUCAUGCUCAAGUCUGUCUUAUUCCUCUUACUCAUUGUCCAAACAUGAUCUAGAAGAGUGGGAUGUGUCCCCCCUCAAAGGCAUUGGCAGCAGAUUCAGUUCCCUGAGUGCCGAGCAAUCCUUCAGGCUGGCACAGCAAUGGGUCGGUUGCCGUCCAUGAGCUAGAACGUUUCUUGGAUGAAAGAAACCCAACUGGCAUUUAAGGAACCUCUGAGGCAUAUUAGACCUGGCAGGAAACAUCUUUAAAGAAACCUGUCAACUUUUCCCAAUUGUUCUGACAAUUCCCUCCUGUUAACAAAAUGUUAAUAUUCCAAAAAUGUUCAAAUUCUCUUGUAUUAACAUAUUCUUUCUCGCUUCUCCCCUUCCUUCCCUCCUGUCCCCCCGCUCUCUCUCAACUAUGGUUAUUGAUGCCCUUUCUGGAAGGUCUGCCCUUCCUCAGAUGAACAUGACCUAAAUUAUUUGGCUCCCGCUCUGAUGGUGUAUUGAUUACUUCCCCAUCCCCAUAAACCACCUCUUGGCAUCUCUCCAGGGGACUGCCUACACUAGAUGAAAUUAAGGGCAACCCUGGCUCUCAACAAGGCCUCACCAAGCAGUUGCUUUGGAGGAGUGAUUCAUGAGUUUAGUUAAUGAUCCUAAUGGCCUCCAAUAAGAACAACCCCUUCCUGCAGCAUAGUCUUUGGGCUACACUGGAUUUAGGGAAACUUCGUUAGGGUUGGGGAUAUUCUCCAACACUAGAGAUCGAACAGGAGAACAAGAACAGCGUGUGUGGUCACCUGCAGAACUAAACUGAGAGCUCUGCUCAGGCGGAAAUGGCUAAUUCUCAUCUUUGAAGAUGGCAUCCUGGGGACUUCCUAUUCUCUGUGGGUUAAUGUGGCAGCGAGAGUUCUUUUUGGUUCCCCUGCUAAGCUGUGCCAGCUUUUGCUUCUACGUUUUCAUAAAAUGUGUGGCUGUGGUUAUGAUUCUGACGUGCAGAAAUUCAGGAACUCCCUGCUUCCUUUCCUCGGGUGGCAUUUAGGCUUUAGAGAAUUCCCAAUCUGCUAAUGAACAAUUCGGGAAUUCUUCAUGGCUUCAUUGAAGUAUCCCAUGGUAAACUUUGCCCCACAAUGCUCCGUUUCUCUAGAAAAUACCGUAUUGCUUUCCCGUGACCUUGCUGCUGACUUUGAUCACUUUGAUCUGCCUCCAGGAGCCUCUGAGAGGCUAAGGCUGGUGAUGUUGACUUUUCUGGGUAACUGACUUGGGUAGAUAGGGCACCCUUAGUUUUAGGAACUUCACACUUAAUCUUCUUCCGAAGGAUAGGAUUGUGUAACACAGUGGGAGUUUGGGGCAUUGCAAUAAAUUUUAGUGGCCAAGUCCCCAGAGCUCCCAGGUCUAUCAGCACACAAAAUGUCCAACCCACUAAAAAUCUUCAUGUGCCCCAGGUCAUCUACCUUUUAGGAAAAACAUCCCAAAUCAUUGAUAUAAGUACAGAGGUUCACAUUAAAUAUAUUUUGUAAGCGUUGAAUGUAUCACUCUACGUGUUGAAAUGCAGGUAACUAGUUGGCAUGUUAUGCCAUUUGCAGACAUUCAACUAAAUAUUUUGUAGUUUUGAUUUUCUGCUUUUUAAAAAAUUUACUGGAACAGUAUUUUUUUCAGAUCUCAAACACUGUCAGUCUAACAGCAUGGGUGUCCUGUCUGUGUUGCCCAAAAGAUAAAAGAGGCCUGAAACCAUCCUUUGUUCCCUGGAGGAUUUGAUGGUAAUGGAGGCAAGAAUCUGGAGGGCAUCAUUUCCAUUGAUUUAACAGCGGCACCCUUUGGGGUGUUCCAGAGAAGUGUGUCAACCGAGGACCCUUCCAUUGCUCUGUACUUCAAAGGAACACUGUUUCAGUUAGCCUUUGCUGUGUGACACCUCCCCCCCCAAUGUGGCUUAAAACAACAAUUAUUUUUCAUGAGAUUCUAUGAAUUAGCUCCAAGGUUUUUGCCCGGGUUCACUCAAGCAGCCGCAUUUGGCUGAAGGGUCAGCUGGGCUCAAAGAUAGAGAUGGUGGGCCUUCUGGCAGGUGUGGCAGUGGGUGCUGGUGACAGUGGGUGCUGGCCAUUGGCUGGGACGCCUCCCUUCUGCUGCAUUUGGCCUCUCCUCUUCCAGUCGGCUAGAUCAGCUUCUUUGUAUGGUGGCCUCUGGGCAGCUUUCAAAGAUGGUGGAAGUAGAUGGGUCACAGUAAGUCACAGCCACAGUCCAGAUUCAACGGGUGGAGGAACAGGCUCUCCUCCUGGACAGCUAAGGGUGCAAAAUUACAGGGCAAAGGGGCCUGGACACUAGAAUGGAAGGAAUUCGCAGUCAUUAAACAACAUACCACAGCCAUGGCACAGAAGGACUGUAGGUCCCAGAAGCUGGGGAGAGGAGAAUGUCUGGAGUCUUCUCAUGUGGUCAUUGCAUCCUUUCUCUUGGACUGUCCACACAUCCUGCAGAGAGGCUGUAGCUCAGCCGUUAGGCUCCUCAUGGAGGAAACGUGGGAUGGGUGCUUAGCUUUAUCAGUCAGGGGUGGAAGUAUGGUGCCCAAAGACACAGCAGGUUAAGAGCAGGCUCUCAAAUCAAAAUGCUCGGUUUGAGCUCUGGCUCCACCACACACUAGCCAUGAUAUGGAAACAAGAGACAUAAACUCUCUAGGCUUUGGCUUCCUCCUCUGAAAAAUGGGAUGACGACUCAAUCUUUUAUUUAUGUAGAUAUGUAUGCUGUGUGUAGAUUCAAUGAGGAAUGCCAUUUUGCUUCAAUAUCUGGUAUUUGUUAAGUCGUAAGUAUUAGUUCUUGUUAUUUUCCAAAGAGAUAGAAUUCAAAUUAAGAAGAGGUGUCCGAAA
rnacentral:lncRNA from 1 species